rnacentral:snoRNA from 1 species
AACUUUGUCCAAAAGUAAUCCACCGCAUUAGACAGUACGACAGCCGAGCAGGGGUAUCUUUCUGAUAACGCCGAGGAAUUGUUCUAAUUUCUUUGUUUGAAGAAGCGCCCUAUUUUUAUAGCACUUGCGCUUGAUUCGUGAUAAGCGUGUGGAAAGAUGAAAGAUGCCCUUCUAUAAGAACCCGUGAGGACCGAAAAAAUGAUACUCGGGUGUCAGAGGAUGGCUACAAAC